UACGUAGGUGGCAAGCGUUGUCCGGAUUUACUGGGCGUAAAGAGCGCGCAGGCGGUCGUUCAAGUCGCGUGUGAAAGCCCCCGGCUCAACUGGGGAGGGUCACGCGAUACUGAUCGACUCGAAGGCAGGAGAGGGUAGUGGAAUUCCCGGUGUAGUGGUGAAAUGCGUAGAGAUCCGGAGGAACCCAGAGGCGAAGGCGGCGUCUGGCUCGCAACUGACGCUCAGAACACGACAGCAUGGGGAGCGAACGGG
rnacentral:rRNA from 1 species